rnacentral:SRP_RNA from 1 species
GCCGGGCGUGGUAGCGGGUGCCUGUAAUCCCAGCUACUCAGGAGGCUGAGGCAGGAGAAUCACUUGAACCCGGGGGGCAGAGGUUGCAGUGAGCCAAGGUCAUGCCACUGCACUCCAGCCUGGGUGACAGGGUGAGACUUUGCCUCAA